AUACGGAGGGUGCGAGCGUUAAUCGGAAUUACUGGGCGUAAAGCGCGCGUAGGCGGCUUAUUAAGUCAGAUGUGAAAUCCCCGGGCUCAACCUGGGAACUGCAUCUGAUACUGGUAAGCUAGAGUUUUGGAGAGGGAAGUAGAAUUUCAGGUGUAGCGGUGAAAUGCAUAGAGAUCUGAAGGAAUACCAGUGGCGAAGGCGACUUCCUGGCCAAAAACUGACGCUGAGGUGCGAAAGCGUGGGUAGCAAACGGGAUUAGAAACCCUAGUAGUCC
rnacentral:rRNA from 1 species